UUUGUUUUCUCUUUCUGUUUUUAAUUUUUUUAGGAAACUAAUGUGUUUGAUAACGUUCUCUGUUUCUCGUUCUCAAAAUAAUAGAAACGGAACAAGAAAAAAGAGUUUCUUCCGUUUUUGUUUCUCUUCGUUCUCAAAUUUCAUGACUUCUCUUUCUUCUCUCUUCUCUCUUCUCCUUCGAUGUUUCUCUUCGCUCUUCGGAUAGGGCUUCAUCUCUUUGUUCACCUUCUUCAAUCUCUUACCCAUUCCAUUUCUUCGUUCUCCGACCAUGGUAGCUCUUCCUACUCUAUCAGAUUCAAUUCCUCGCGACGGGAAAUCGACAAGUGAAAGAAAAAAUUAGAAAAAGAUGGGAUUGGGUAACGCAAACGCGGGAUGGGUAACUCAAUUCUUGACGUUAGAAGAGAGAUUUGAAAGAGAGAAGACGGAGAAAAGGAUUUUGGUGAAUUGCUGCAAGUGCAAGAAAAUAAAUAGAAAGGGAUGGGUUUUGUUUAUUAAAGAAAUCCCUUUUUUUUUUCACUUGCGAAAGAGACAAACAAACGCAAACAAUAGAAGGAAGAUGAGGAAAUUUGAUCCAUGGUCGAUGUUUUUCGGGCAAGAAUGGAAGAGGAACUGGCCACUCCUUGUUGGUGCGUCAUAACCGGCCUCUUAGUUUAUGUUUGCUUUAAUGAGAUCGAAUUAGCUUGCAAUUGGGCAUGGUGAUGAUCGAGCACUUGCAGCACUUUGUUUUUUUGAUUUUCAAGCAUUUUCAAUUGUGAUUUCAAUUGUGAAACUUGCAAUUAUAAUGUGAUUACACAAUUCUUUCAAUUUUGCUGUGAGGCUUCCAUCGUUCAUCAAGCGUUGGCUUGCAAAUUGGUGGUUUUGAAGAAAACCUUUUCUAGGAGGGUUUGAGAUUCCUCAAACAUUUGGAGAAUUAAUUUUCCUUAAAUUAAUUGACAUCACAAUAACACAAUACGUUUACUUAUCA